rnacentral:lncRNA from 1 species
GCACUGCUGAUCUCCAACCGUACCAGCAAAUGUUGCUCCUAAAAGGGCCCAGGGACACUCACUCCGUCAGGGCAAGUGAAUUCUAAUCUACUUGGUUCAGACAGGUUUUAAAGAUGUUUCCAGCAUGUCACCUGAAAUGAAGUCACUUUGGCCAUCACUAGGGCUGGGUCACUGCCCUGUGGACUGUGUGUGCAGAGGAGAGGGAGGCCACCCAGGGGAGCCCAGCACACUCGGGAAGCCCAGGCAGGGCCGCAGGGUCCCUGAGCUGCAGAAGGCAGCACGUGAACUGGGGUGAAAUAGGGGGGCCUUCAGAGGGGCGCUGUGGGGCUGAGGAGAGGCCAGGGGAGCUGCCUGCCCUCCCAGGCCAAUCUGGAGCUCCAGCCCCAAAAAUGUGGGGGAGAGAGAAACACAUGUCAGGUCAGACAGUCUGUUCUGGUCCUCAGUCCCCUGUGCUCUCUGUCCCCUCUCUGCCUCUCGGAUUCUGUUUGUCUUUCUCUAGUUCCCCAGGCUCCUCUUUCUCUUCCUCCUUCCCUCCCUGCCACAUCCUGUCAGCUGCUGCCCUGUGCAGCCAGUGAGUGGCCAUGGAUCUCCCAGACAGACAAGGGCAUUACGACCAGCAAUGCAGCGCUCCCAGAGGGCUGAGGGGUGGAGGGGCGGUGGGAACCUGGUGCGGGGUGUGUGUGUGCCCAGUCCUGUUGAAACUGCCCCGUCGGGCGUGUCUCCAGAGGUGGGCUCUGCAGCGGGGGUGGACAGGGGCCCUUUCCCAUCUCCCCUCAGGAGCGGAAAGCCGAGGGGAGCGAGCUUUCACUUCACAUGUGGUGUCAGUCGUGGGUGGGACUACGGCGAGCAGACCAAGACCCACAGUCGUCUCGUGAUUCUCCAAACUUGAAAUGAAACUCCAGAGACCAUGGCUUGUCCGUGUGAUCAGGGCUUUCUGACUGGCUUUACUGUUUUGAACAGAAGAAUCUGUAGCCUGAACAAUGGCUCAGACUAAUGAAUGCUUCAGUCUGAGCGAUUUAGCUCUUGUCCACCCGGCGCCUCAUCGAUCUUCCUCAUUCUGAAUUCCAACAGCAAUUGAGUCUGGACCGCACAAUUCAGAACUCCGUUAUAUACGGCCUGGGGUUGCUCCUGUUGUUUCAGAGGAGUUUGUCUGGCCUUCGCUACAGGAAUUACCAGCUCCUUUAGGACUAGGAUCGAGCACGUCUCGUCCUUCUCUAACCUCCACCAGUCGAUGAGCACUCCUUGACGCGGGCAGACACCAUCUGCGUUGCCGUGGGCCUUGUCUCAGCUUUGAUGGCUCCACCUUCAGGAUGCUGGGCACACAGAGCCCUCAAUAAGUGGUUCCUACCUGAAGGAGUUAUUUUUUCCUAUUAACAAAGGACGGGACAGACUGUUCCAGAGUUUCUCCGGGGGGUGCUUAGGUCUAAACAUGAUCUGCUGAUUCUAACACAUUCCGCCUUCUCUUCCACGGUCACCUCCUUCAGCGAGUGAAACAGAUUGGUGUCAGUAUUCCUUACUCACAUAGUGUUAUGGGCAGAACGGUGUCCCCCCAAAUUCCUGUGGUGAAGCUCUGACUGCCGGGACCUCAGGAUCUGACUGCACUUGGAGGCAGGGCCUUCAAAGAGGUGAUUAAGUUAAAAUGAGGCCGUUAGGGUGGCUCUCAUCUGAGCUGACUGGUGUCUUUAUAAGAAGAGGAAAUUUGGACACAUAAAGAGCAGGGCACAGAGGAAACACCACGUGAGGACACAGGGAAGAGGCAGCCAUCUCAGCCAAAGAGAGAGGUCUCCAAAGAAACCAGACAGGCUGACACUUUGAUCUUGGACUUUUAGAUUCCAGAACGGUGAGAAAACAAAUUGCUAUUGUUUAAACUGCCCAGUCUGAGGUGUUUUGUUGUGGCAGCCCUGCUGACCUCAGACGGAUAGAGAAGUAGAGACCCCCAGGGGGAAGUAUCUUCUAGCACAGGCGAAGUGCCCAAGCUUUCUGGAAAUCCCCCUCGUCACGUGUCCACAUGUGUGGGAAUUCCCAAAGGAGUCCUGCAGUCCAGCUGUGUCAUGGCUUUACUCCUUCUGAUGCUCCCUACAAACAAAAAAGGGUCUCUGUCUCCAUCAAGAUUCUUCCUCUGAUUCUGACCUCUCCAAGCCCAUCCUCACUGUCGCGUGCUCUGCCCCACAUUGCUACAAGCACCCAGGUGAAAUCUGUCACCUUACGGUGUAAGGAAGUGCACUGCACCAGCUGCACUGUGGUUGAGACGACUCCUGAGCACGUUCUCCCCGGGCUCGGUUCUCUUUGCACAGGUGGACGGCACCAGGCAGUCCAUCCACGGGCUGUCUAGUUCAAGCUGUUACUACCAUCAGGUGGGCCAGGGUGGGAGUAGGGGCAGGCAGAGGCCAAGCUCCUAGCACCGGCUGAGAAGCUGCAUCUAAGGGCGGGUGUGUGGAGAUGAAUUCCUGGGGACAGACAGGCGAGACACGAAUGCACGCAAGACCAAAAGGCAGCCGAUGAGUGGAGGCCUGGUCAGGCCAUGUGACAGCUGUGUGUUUGUUUAGGAGAUCCAGUGAGAGGCCUGGGCCCCAGGGGCAGUGGAGAGGCAGCUCUCCUGUGGUUUAACCCCCAGAGUCCUCUCUCGGGUGCCUGUAGGACACUUCCUUUUUUCUCUUACAAGCACUAGGAAAGCUGUUUUCUCACCUGAGGUCCUAUUUCCCGAGGUCAACUGUGUGUCACACUUUGCCCAACCACAUAAGAUCUGAACUAAGCACACAAAGUCCUUUCAGGUUUUUAAAAACAUUUGGCAGUUAACAAUUGCAGGCGCUCUGAGAUUUGCUUGGGCGUGCCAUUUUUGUGAUCUGGAGUAGUGUUUCCUAGGCAGACGUUUACUGACAUAGAGCCGCACUUCUGAGGAUGGCAUGGACUGCUACCCUGCAGUACGCACCCCUCCCAGUGUGGUCCCACGGUGUGUCAUCAGGCUGGGUCUGCCGUGUGGCGUGACAGCUGACCCACUGUGAAAGGGCAGCCUGCCCCGUGCCUUCACACCCGCCGAGUGUGCCUAACCUAGCAGGGUACACUGUCGCUGUUGGAGCUUAUGCGACCCUGCACAGUUUCUGCUGUUACCUUAAGCCGCUGAAACUUAUCAGCCACUUGGAGGUCUGCUAGGACAAAUCUGGGGUCCUCCCCGUUCUGAAAUGCCUCUCUGCUCUCCCUCUACCAGCUCUGUCACUCGCCCUUGCCACUUAAAGAAGGAUGGUAUUAUGCAGGCCAGGACACACGGGGGUCUCAAGCUUGAGCAGCAGCAGACCGUCAGGGGCACUUCUUAAACAUGGCUCCUGGGCGCCACCUCCAGAGUUUCCGGUCAGUGUGUCUGGGAAGGGUCUGAGGCCUUGUAUUGCUAACUAGUGUGAAGGUGAUGCUGAUGAUGCUGGCCCAGGGCCCGCACUUUGAGAAGCACCGGGCUAGAAUACUGGAUACGAUAUCUCUGAGCGUGUGUGACUAAGCAUUGAUUUUCCAGCUUCCAUGAACACCCUCUCAAGUGUGUGAGGAAAGCCUGGGUUGGGGUCCUGGACUGGAGUUGACAAAAUAGAACCAAAAGUGGAUGUUUGGCCCUAGUUUGUCCUAACAUGUAGAUGGAACUGGGCCUACGUUUUCAUAGGCCUCUUCUUGACUCAUGCUCUAAAUUUCAUUCAAGGAACAAAAAUUGCAAAGAAGUUGACAUUUUCUGAGCACCAGUUUAAAAAAUUACUUUUUAAAAGAUUGAACAGUAUAUUAGUUUUCUGUUGCUGAUGUAACAAAUUACCACAAACACAGCAACCUAAAAGAGCACAAAUUAAUUUUCUCACAAUUUCCACAGGUCAGAAGACUGGGUAGGCUCCGCCAAGGCCUCUGCCCAACGUCUCGGAAGGGCCAAAGUCAAAGUGCUGGCAGGGCCGUGUUCCCCACCAGAGGCUCUGGACAGGGUCUGCCUCUAAACCCACUCACGUUGUUGGCUGCAGUCUGUUCCUGAGGUUGCAGGACUGAGGUCCCUGCUUCCUUGCUGCCAUCAGCUGGAGAUAGGCUCUGCGGUCCUGCUUUCCUCCCCGGGCUUCCCCUGAGGCCCCUCCAGCAACAGCAGCCUGAGACUCUCUCAAAGCUCAGAUCGCUCUGCCUUCUUCUGCUGAAUCUCGCUGACUCCAGCUAGAGAAAGCUCUCUGCUCGCGGCCCGUGGGGCCCACCCAGACAAUCCAGGACAGUCUCCCCGUUUAAAGGUCUGUGACCUCAGUGACAUCUGCAAGGUCCCCUUUGAUGUAUGGUGCAGUGUAGCUGCACGGUCCAAGGGUUAGGACGUGGACAUCUUUAGGGAGCUGUCCUACCUACCAUAAAGAAGUACUAUGUGGGAAAAAAUCAGAAUAACAUAAAAAUGUUUACAGAAAAAAGUCUUCUCCCACUCCGUGUCCUUUCCCCCGACUCCUCACCCGUCCUACCAGCUAGCUACUGUCAUCGGUUUCUUUGUAUUCUUCCAGAGUUGCUUUUUGUAAACACAGUCAUGAAUAUAUAUUAUUCUUUCUUCUCCCUUUCUUAUAUUGAAGGUGGCAUACGGUACACACCUUUGCAUCCAGCGUUUUUUUUUUAAUUUAAAUGCAGCUUGGAGACAUUUUUCUUAUGGUCCAUAGAGAAAGCACUUCUUCAUCUAUCUUUACAAAGCAUAGUACUCCAAAAACAGGUACCAUAAUUUACUUAACCUGUCUCCUAUUGAUGGACUGUUGGUCUCUUUCCAAUAUUCUGCCACAUAAUCAAUAGCUGUCAGGGACUAACUUCACACAAACAUCAGUUCUUGCGUGUGACCACUGAUUUUCUUUUUAGUUCUAACGUCUCUAAGGCUUGUGACAGGUUGGCUUAGGGACAGUCUCUUACAGGUGCCCAGCUUGUCUGAAGGCACUUUGGUAGCCUAGAAAACGGAAGCUUUGCCUUGAAUUUGUGAAUCUGAGUCACUGCUGGACCUGGAGAUAGGCUCAGCUCCUCUCAAAGCAUUCUCCGCUUGACCGCAGGCCUCUGACCCCGCACGGCCGCCAGCUGGCCUACGGCACACCUCCAGGGGUGCCAUCAACCUCGAGACAAUGUGAAUGGCACCCCUGAGGCUGUGCCACCAGGAAGUGUAAGCGGCCACCCUGUCCCCGGCCCACUCCAGCCCACUCCGCCUAGGAGGAAAUUUGACUUCAGGUCCUCAAUCGGUAUUCCCUCUGACCUUCAGGGUGGUGUUCAUGCUCUUACCCGAGAGGGCUAAUUCCUCUGACCUUCGGCCAUUUUGGAGGUCUCUGGCUUCCUGGCUAGUCCUUCCUUCUUUCAUACUUUCGCUGAGUUUUCUUCAUUUUUCUGGAAAAGAUUCGUAAGAUUAUUCUUCUUCCCCUGAACUAAGAAACUCCGCUCAGAGGGGCUGGGUGCUCAGGUGCCCUGAGCCUCUGUCUGGAGCCUCAGCCGGCCCGCCCUGCCUGCCGGCUCUGCCGUUCCUCUGGCUUCAGCUUCAGCGUGAGAGCAUCUCCUACUGAGCUCACCAGGUGGCCUGCUCUGCUCGUUUCUUCAAACUCUCCUGGUGACUCACCAGCAAUGAGUCCCUCGAAAAAACUCCGUUUCCACUGCCCGUGACUUCCCGGUGCAAGUCACCGCUUGUUUGGUAUCAGACAGCCCAGGCCACAGGGGAGGAGGGCUGCUUCCUGAUUCGGGUUCAGGGCUGGAAAAAAGCAGACGGAGAAACAAAGACACGGCCUGGAAACUGUGGAGAUCAGAAAAGACCAGCAGGGAGAAGACUGCAAAUCCAUUUUCAAUUCAGUGGAAUGGGUUUGCUUGUCUUCUCUCAGUGUGUCGGAUGGGGCAGCGCUUCUAGAAGGAAGUUAAUACGCACUGUUACCUCUCAGCAUCACAGAAUACUCUUACUUUCCUUUGCUGCUACCCCACCUCCAUCCUUCUUUUAAUCCCUUAAACUUUCUACCUCGGGACCUUUGCACAUGUUCUUCCCUUAGCCUGGAAUGCUGCUUCUCCCUUUGGCUAACUUCUAUCCAUCUUUCAGAUCUCAUUUUAAAUGUAAUUUCCUGUGGGAAUUGUCCUGUACUCCCCUGCUGUGGGUUGGAUCUCCCUCCUAUGCUGUUCUUAUCCUUCUAUGCCUUAAAUGCAAUUAUUUUCAGGCAUAUAAUUAAUUGUUCAUUUAUUCACAUUCUGUCUCUCCCUACAGACUGCAAACUUCAUGAGAGCAGAGACCACACCCAUUACGUUGGCUGGCAUACAGGAGAUCUCAAUAAACAUAGGGAGGAUGGAUGAAGGAGUAGAAGGACAGCAGAGGCAAAGAGCAUCAUUCCUCCUGCAAUGAGCACUUAAUCGAUAUCAGGCACUGGGCAUAUUAAAAUGAGAUUCCACACAGAGUCCCCGCUGUCAGGAAAUCCACAGGUCAGCACAUUCUUGGAAAGAAGAGGAAGGAUUUGAGCAGGAGAACUGCUGGAGGGGAGGAAGCCGAGGUGCUCAGGCACAGUACUGCCUGUUUGCUGGAAUUUCCUGCUUUCCGUUUCUCAGACAGUCCCUUUUUGUCCUAUUUUUGUUCCAGAUGACCCUUUAGUUUUCUGGUGGAAGUAAGUGUCUUCCUUGUCACCCUUAGUUACUGAGCCCAGGAGUUGGUCCUCUUUCUACACUCCAGCUUCCCCGUAGAUCAUUUUAUUAUGUCUCCCGGGUUCUUGCGACACCUUUCAGUCUUUUUCUUCUCUGCUCUGGAGAUUUUUUUUUUUAAGUGAGGAAGAUUGGCUCUGAGCUAACAUCUGUGCCAAUCUUCCUCUAGUACGUGGGCUGCCGCCCCAGCGUGGCUUGAUGUGCGGUAUGUAUGUCCACGCCCUGGAUCUGAACCUGCGAACCCAGGGCUACCUAAUUGGAGCGGGCGAACUCAACCACGCGACCAACCCGGCCCCUGGAGUUUUUUUUAUAAUGCACUGGAGCCCACCCAGUUGGCCCCUUCCCCCUAGCCUGGGUCGCUCAUCACCCUGACAAUAACUGUACUUAAAGAUGCAUGAUUUUCAUUUGCAUAUAAAAGAUAAUCCUUUUGGAUCCGGACAAUCCGUUUCUUGUAUUACAACUUUUAAAGUAGUUAAGACCCCUGCAUUUAUAUUUUAACACAGACCUUGCAGGUUCUAUGUUUGGGGGUGGAGUCACCUCAAAUCUCUCCGUUUGCGUUGAGGAUAAAGAAGUGUCACCUAGGAGGUUGGUCUGACAAUUCCAGGUGCUAAUUGAUGUCCUUGGUUAGUUGGGGGUGGUGGAGGUGGUGGGGGUAGUGGGGGCAAUGCACACAGGCCGCACGGCCCCCAAGCUCUGGAGUUGAGCCCACUGGGUCGCCAGGCUGACUGAGAGGCAGGGGAAACAUUCGGGGGUCUUUGAUGGGUCUUGGGAAGGGGGGAGCAGAUAUUCUAAGCUCUGUGUGGGGCUGGUUUUGAAGGCAGGGACGGCCCUGUUCCCCUCUCUGCUCACAUCUCCCACUAGAACGGUCUCAGCUCGGAACUUCCAAGUGUACCACUGUCCACAGAUUGUUUUCCUCCUGUGGACCUCAAUUUCUCUCUGUAAAACAGAGCUGGUUGCACAUUUCCACCAGUGUUUGGAGAGGGGAGGAGGAGAAGGUGUGGGCCCCAGGAGACAGAGGCUCAGCCCACAUAGCUGGUUCCUGUCAGAUGCUUCUGCUUAGGGGGAGCUGUGGCCGUUGGGCCGCCCUCGCUUCGUGCUCUGGGAGCAGAGGAUCCAGGCCCUGUACCCCACCAUGUGCUUCCUCAUUGGGAGCAGUGUGGGAAGGUCCCUGUGUUCGUGGUGGAAGCACAGGUGUCUGGAGGUGGGUACGGAGGUGGGUAUGGAGGUGGGUCUGGAGGUGGGCAUGAAGGUGGGUCUGGAGGUGGGCAUGGAGUUGGGUCUGGAGCUGGGCUUGGAGCUGGGUCUGGAGGUGGGCAUGGAGGUGGGUCUGGAGCUGGGCUUGGAGCUGGGUCUGGAGGUGGGCGUGAAAGUGGGUCUGGAGGUGGGCAUGGAGGUGGGUCUGGAGCUGGGCCUGGAGGUGGGCAUGGAGGUGGGUCUGGAGCUGGGCAUGGAGGUGGGUCUGGAGGUGGGAAUGAAAGUGGGUCUGGAGGUGGGCAUGGAAUUAGGUCUGGAGAUGGGCAUGGAGUUGGGUCUAGAGCUGCGCAUGGAGCUGGGUCUGGAGGUGGGCAUGGAGGUGGGUCUGGAGCUGGGCAUGGAGCUUGGUCUGGAGGUGGGCAUGGAGCUGGGUCUGGAGCUGGGCCUGGAGGUGGGCAUGGAGCUGGGUCUGGAGCUGGGCCUGGAGGUGGGCAUGGAGCUGGGCCUGGAGGUGGGCCUGGAGCUGGGUCUGGAGGCAGGCAGAGGAAAUCUGAAUGCGUUUGGGGGAGGAGGAUGGAUGCCCGAGGGCAGAGGAGAGGGAGGGCUUCUCCUGUUCUCACCCUACUUCUCUCUUCUCAACAGUUCUACACCAUCAGGCAACGUUUAAAUACACUCCGGAACAAACGUCGAUCCUGGGACCUCUGCUUGGCUUGCCUGUGCCCGCCCUGUCCGGUCAGCUGCCACAGACCCUGUGCCUCAUCUGAGGGCUCCUUCCUCCUUCCUCGGAAAGCUGUUCAGGUCACGGCAGAGCUUGCCUCCUUAUGAUGCAGUCGCCAAGGCCCUUCCCCGGCUUCCGAGGAAUUUGGGUCUUAUUACGUGUGUAGAUAAUGCCAUCUAUUGCUAUUUAACUUUUUCACGCACAGCUUUCUCUUCAGUUGCAGUGGGUUUCAGCCCUGGCUGCACAGAAUCACCAGGGAAGCUGUAGAAAAUACUAGUACGCCAGGCCCAAGGCCAGGGACUCUGAUUUAAUGGAUCAGGGGUGGGGCUCCGAGUCUUGUGGCUUGUCAGUCUCCCAGGUGACUGUAAGGAGUGAGGCUUGCAGGCUGGGACCAGCAUUCCAGGGGCUUCCUCCAGUCUCUGUGGAUGAAGGGUUGGUCAGAGGGUCCUUUGGAAAGCAAGUGGCCUGGGGCUAAUCGUGGCUCUGGGCAACCCGGGGGAGGGGGUGAAAAGUGUCCAGUGAGGAGGCUGUGAUGGCAUCGUCUACCUGCUCACCCUGUGGAAAACGAGGGGGGCACUUCCAGGAGGGAUGGGACACCCGCACUCCGCCUCUGGGCUCCUCUUGGGGAAGGAGAUCAAGGUCCCCGUGGGCCGUGCUCCGGAGGCCCUCCUCCCUCUCAACGAUCCUCCGUGUGCUCUCUUGGUUUCUCAUGCCUCAGUUUUCUCUCCCCAGGAGGCUUCAAACAAAGGACAGGUUUAGUGCACUGGGCCCAACACAGCCACUUACUCUGGGACCUGGAUGGAGUUUAUUAACUUCUCUGAACUUCAGGUUCCUCAUCUGUCAAAUGGGCUGAAGCUUAACUCCUAAGGCUACCAUGUGGAUUACAUGGAAGGAUUCUGGCCGAGCGCCGAGCCCACGGUGGACGCUCAGUGGAUAGCUGCUAUGGCUGCCAUUUUCACCUGGUCCCACCUCUUGGUAGCUCCAGAACUGGCUACAUGGUUUGGUUAUUGAACCCUCGGAGCCUCAGUUUCCACAUCUUAUACAACAGGGACAACAACAGGUCCUCCACAGAGCUGGAAGGCAUCAGUAGGUAAAGGGCAGAGCAGAGGAGACGCAGAGCUCAGCCCGGCCCUCUGCUCCCCAGCCCUUCCUCCUCUCAACCUCGCUCUCUCCAGCACCUCCCCCCUCUCUCCACCUCUCUCUAAGUCUUCGCUCUCCUGCUCGUGCUCCUCGCUUGACCCUCCUCGAUAGUCUGAGCAUGGGAGGCCCGGGAUGGAGCCUGUGGGACCAAAGAGGAGGUAGAGAGAUGCAGAACAGGGAGAAGGCAAUGCCCUUCAGCGACAGACCUACUUACCUCUGAGUGACAAAGACCCGGCAAUGGACAGCGUUGAGUCCCCUGUUCCCACGCUCCCUUGGUGACAGGAACUGAAGCCGGAAGAGGUAAGGGAAACUAUGUGACUUCUUUCACUCGUUUAUUCAUCCACUGAGCUCAUACUGGUGGAGUAGUUACAACGUGCCAGGCACAGUGCUUGGCGAACAAGACCGUCUCUGCCGUCGGAGAAGGCACAUCCUCCUUGGAGACACACAGGUACCUGAACAUUUCAGUAUAGUAUGUUAAGUGCUAAAAUAGGGUGCUGACCUGGUUUUUGUCCUGGGGGAGGGAGUCAAGACUUCUGAGACUAAAAGAAGUCCAAGCUGAGAUUGGAAAGUAGGAGUUGGCUAGGUGAAGGGGGAAGGACACGCUUUUCCAGGCUCAGUGUGCACAUGCAAAGGCCUGGAGGCCAGCAUGAGCCUGGCUUGUUCCUGUGUCUGCGGUAGAGAAGUGCUGGCCAAGUGUGCACAAUCUCAGUGGAGGCCAAGCCAUGUCUGGAUUCAGAACCCACUUUGAAGGUGGCAAGACAUGGACAUUGGCAUGAUUGAUAAUGGAUCCCUCAACUAGCCAGAGGGAAGGACCAAAAUAUAGGCUCACAGACUGUGACAGGUGUGAUAAAGAAAAAGUCCCUGUGCUACCCCCCAAAAAAUUAGGAAAAGAAAAAAUAAGAAUGGAACAAAAAAAUUAUGGAGAGUGUAAAGGCAAAUGUGGUGCUUGCAAAGAGUAUGUUGGAGACUGGAAACAGAAGGAUGAGAGACAAGGAGACUCAAGACUUGAUCCCGAGGGAUACUUCAGUGUUUCACUGAAGAUGGAUAAAGACUAAUUCGGCCCAGCACUAUCAAUAUGCCAUUAGCAUUUCUCAUUGCCGCCAAGGCUGCCAUGUGCAAUUGUGCAAGUCGAGCACUGCACAAUUCUAGAGACCACCGUUUCCAUCACUGAUAUAGACUCAUCUAUUUAUUACAACAAUUUUUCAGUAGAUGGCGCACAAAGAGGCCUACAGGUGAAUGGCUGUGCUGACUGGCCACCCUUUGCAAGACACUCUGGUCUCACCUACCUCUUCCCUAUUACAGCAGGGUGAGAAGACCCACGUGUCUACUACCUGCAACAAACACUCAAGAGUUUCCUUUUCCUCCAUCCUCGCAUUCAUCCUUGCCUGCCUGCCCAUGGAGGGCGGUGAGGCAGGCCUGGGGACGGAAUGCACAGCAUGGCAGCUUGAGCGAGCACCUCUGUGGUGUGUACUUGACAGUUGCCGAGAGUAGAUCUCGGGUUCUCACCACACACACACACACACACACACACACACACUAUGGGAAGUGAUAACCUUAUCAUCGUCAUCAUUGGAUAAUAUAGACAUAUAUCAAGUCAUUGCAUUGUACACCCUGAACUUACACAUCUUAUUUGUCAAUUACAUCUCAAUAAAGCUGGAAAAAAUAAAUAAAUAAAUGAAAAAGACCACAUGGGAGGCAAUAAAACAGAGUGGUGGGGAGCAAGGCCCUUGGAGUCUGUCUGCCUGGCAUCCGAUAUUUGACCGGAUCUGGGCUGUACUUCUGCGUCUGUAAAAUGGGCAGAUUAGCCACCUCACAGAGUUGUCUGAGGACCACCCGAGACAAGGCUGGUAAAGCCUUUGAGUGUAGUGUCUGGUACACAGUAAAUGCUAACUAAAUGCUAACAAUUUUUGAACAAAUAUUUAAUGUGUUGCAAUCUAAUGGAGAAGCUAGACAUCGAACAAAAACUCCAGAGUGAUGGAUGGUUGCGUCGCUCAGCCUCCUCUUCCAGGGCCUGCCUCAGAGCCUGGCAGUGACCCCUCACGGCUGGCGGAGACUGCAGCGCCGCUGCAGGAGCCCCAUCUGCGUGUGACACCGUUGCUUCUCCACUGGGCUCCUGGCUCGUUGUACCGGCAGCCUCAGCCUGACAGACAGGGGGAGCUGAGAGUUUCACUGGGACGCGGGUCUGCCCUCCAAAGCCCAGCCUGGGUGCUCUGCUGAAGAGAGAUGGGGGAUGUCUGUGGCUCUAGAUUUUUUGUUUUUGUUUUUAAUGGUCUGGCUUGCUCGGCCUUUUUUCCAGGUGUUUCCUAAAAUAGCUUUCCACUCCUCCUCCCUUGGACCCACCUUCAGCCCUGCCUUCAGAGGCAUCCAGGUGGGUUCUUGGCCUUCCUCACUGCUGGUUUACGAUUCCGCUUUUUUCAGACUUCUAAAUUGUUAGAGCUUGUUCAUCUAUCUUCCGGCUUCCAAAAAUAUUCUGCUAUUGUCUCCGUUCCUGUUUUCUUCAUCUUGUGGAUGUAUGCUUUAAAAAACCCACCUCUCUCCACUGUCAUUUUGGCGGGUUUUGGAGAGGAACUGAGGUAAACUCAUGCGUUCCAGCUGCCCUCUCUAACUGAAGUCAGUUACGCGCCUCUGCUGUGCCCCACCUCAGAGGAUGGCUGGAGAAGCUCUGCCCCCACCCACACUGCUUGCAGGCUCGGUGGUCUGGUUCCUCAGUCCACAGACAACAAGAAGGAGCCCAUUAGACGGGAGGCUCGCCCGAGGAAAGACCCGCCAGAAGUGGCAAGUGAACUGCACAGGAAGGGACAGAGAAAUCAUACAGAAAGUCUAUCCAAGCAGAGCCACCUAGAGCAGGGUAAACGGCGCUCAAACCUAGCAGCACGGCACCCCCAGGGACGGAGCUUCAGCAGUUCCAGGCCCAGAGUCUCACAAAGGCUCACAAUGA